CCCCCAUUACAACUUCCGUUUUUCAGUAGGGACGAUUGUAGUUCUGUGUAUUUUAGGGUGUAAAGUCUUUUUUUGCUGCCAGCCUGCCGUUUUUGGUGUACAGGUGCAUGCUUGGUAUCAAAAUGAUGGAAAUUGUCUAAGCUUUGGGCAGGUAUGAGUUUUAAUGGUGAAAGUUUGAAAUUCUGGGCGAGAGGACACAAGGAGACAGGUGGUGAUGAGGCUGCGAGUGACGUCCCCUUGGCGUUGCUAGGCACCCCUCCCAGCUGCCGGCAUGGAAAGGUCCAGAUUUUGACGGUCAACCUAUGUCAAGAUUUUUACAGCUUCUUUCUCACAGGCUGGGCCAGGUUAAAAAGUAUAGCUUUUCCCCUCUUCUUGGGUCCCUUCAACAUGUCUUGGGAGGGUUGCCUUGCUGACUGUCUGAAUGACCAAUGUGCAUGUACUGUGUGGCUUUAUUUUUGUAAGUGGCAAAUUCAUAUUUCUCCCCUCUACUUAUCUCUUGUAGAUGCCAGUGUCACACUUUGGUGUUUGUUAUGUAGAAAGUACUAAUUUAGUCUGAGGCAACAACACAGGUGGUGGGAUUCUUUUGCACUGUGAGUUGAGAUAUACAUACCAGCUUUCCAAAACAUUUGACCUGGUUGAGAUAUUUUGAACGG